rnacentral:rRNA from 1 species
UACGUAGGGUGCAAGCGUUGUCCGGAAUUAUUGGGCGUAAAGAGCUUGUAGGCGGUUUGUCGCGUCUGCUGUGAAAACUCGAGGCUUAACCUCGAGCUGUCGGCGGAAACCAUCUGGCUAGAGUCCGGAAGAGGAGAAUGGAAUUCCCGGUGUAGCGGUGAAAUGCGCAGAUAUCGGGAAGAACACCCGUGGCGAAGGCGGUUCUCUGGGACGGUACUGACGCUGAGACGCGAAAGCGUGGGGAGCGAACAGG